rnacentral:rRNA from 1 species
CGGGCCGCAGCAGGCGCGAAAACUUUACAAUGCAGGAAACUGUGAUAAGGGAACCCCGAGUGCCCGUAUACGCGGGCUGUCCAGGUGUCUAAAAAGCAUCUGAAGAAAGGGCCGGGCAAGACCGGUGCCAGCCGCCGCGGUAAUACCGGCGGCUCGAGUGGUGGCCACUAUUAUUGGGCUUAAAGCGUCCGUAGCUGGACUGUUAAGUCUCUUGGGAAAUCCGCCGGCUUAACCGGCGGGCGUCUAAGAGAUACUGGUAGUCUAGGGACCGGGAGAGGUGAGAGGUACUCCGGGGGUAGGAGUGAAAUCCUGUAAUCCCUGGGGGACCACCGAUGGCGAAGGCAUCUCACCAGAACGGCNAC